ensembl:lncRNA
CAAUUGCAUGAAUCAUCUAUGGGAGCAUAUUCACUACCAUGCGUAAACUGGAGUUGCUUGCUGCUGGGAACCCUGAUUCAUCCAGGCCCUCACUGGACACACAGCUCCAGCAGGGAUCCCUCCAGAGCACAGAGAACCAUCCCAGCCAUCCUGCUUCUACUGACGAAGCCUGGACCCAGAUUAACUCUCCUGAGUGACCAUGCCACACACCUGACUCACAUUAAAUUUAACGGUCAACUGAAACCCUCACACUUCUGGGGCAGGGACUCACUCCCUGGUCCAGGGAAUUUCUAGGAAAACAGACUUUAUGUAGUUCCUUAUUACUUGUUCAAUGGAAAAUGGUGUCUGAGCUUCCCCCCACCCCCAACCACGAUAUUUAAUGUAUGAGAGUGAUGCCUUUGAAGUGCUGAAAAAGUGCAGUCAUUCCCUUGACAAGGAAAGGGAGGAAUUAUGGAUGAAAUCCUGCCCCCUCCCUCCCCUGCAGCACAUGCUGUCGGAGUCUCAAGGUCACCCGGCAGCCGUCUCAGGCAGAUGCUUCUCUCUUCCCUCUUCACUAUCAAAGUGUUUUCAAGGGAACCACAGAAGGGACAGCUGCCUUUGAUUGUUCCCUUCUUGAUCCUCCUGGGUCCCUAACCACUCCCAGGGGUCUCCGUGAGUGCAGAAAGAGGCCUCAUAAAACAGCCUUAAAAUAAACAAGAAUUUUCUCCUUUUCUUCUACUGCCUGCCCUGAAGGAAAAAGGGAAAAGAAAAGCGAGGGAGAGGGUGGGUGUUUGAUGGCAGAGAGGAGAGUCCCUUAUGCAUCUUACAACAUCAGUAAACACCUGUGAGAUAAAUACAUUUGAUUUAGACCCAACGUAGAUCAGGAAAAAGGGAGGGUAGUAUGAAGUUCUGUGCAAAUAAUUCCUUAGGGAUAAUUCUGAAACCACCUAGAAAAACAGAAUUUGAAAUGAUUUCCCCAGAUGUACUAAAUGUCUUCAUGGUCUGGGUCAGAAAGACAGGCUCAUAAUAAUCCACCUGGCCUUUCUAAAGGCCAGGUGAUAGAACAAAAGCCCCAGGUUGGUCUGGCAGCAG